rnacentral:tRNA from 101 species
GGGGACGUAGCUCAGCUGGGAGAGCGUCGCGUUCGCAAUGCGAAGGUCGGGAGUUCGAUCCUCCUCGUCUCCACCA